AUACGGAGGGUGCAAGCGUUAUCCGGGAUCAUUGGGUUUAAAGGGUCCGUAGGCGGACUAUUAAGUCAGAGGUGAAAUCCCACAGCUCAACUGUGGAACUGCCUUUGAUACUGGUAGUCUUGAGUUAUAUGGAAGUAGAUAGAAUGUGUAGUGUAGCGGUGAAAUGCAUAGAUAUUACACAGAAUACCGAUUGCGAAGGCAGUCUACUACGUAUAUACUGACGCUAAGGGACGAAAGCGUGGGGAGCGAACAGGAUUAGAAACCCUAGUAGUCC
rnacentral:rRNA from 1 species